CCUGGAGACUCCUACGGGAGGCAGCAGUGGGGAAUAUUGCGCAAUGGGGGCAACCCUGACGCGGCCAUGCCGCGUGUCUGAAGAAGGCCUUCGGGUUGUAAAGGACUUUUGUCAGGGAAGAAAAGGCUGUUGCUAAUAUCGACAGCUGAUGACGGUACCUGAAGAAUAAGCACCGGCUAACUACGUGCCAGCAGCCGCGGUAAUACGUAGGGUGCGAGCGUUAAUCGGAAUUACUGGGCGUAAAGCGAGCGCAGACGGUUACUUAAGCAGGAUGUGAAAUCCCCGGGCUCAACCUGGGAACUGCGUUCUGAACUGGGUGACUAGAGUGUGUCAGAGGGAGGUAGAAUUCCACGUGUAGCAGUGAAAUGCGUAGAGAUGUGGAGGAAUACCGAUGGCGAAGGCAGCCUCCUGGGAUAACACUGACGUUCAUGCUCGAAAGCGUGGGUAGCAAACAGGAUUAGAUACCCUUGUAGUCCUAG
rnacentral:rRNA from 1 species